GUCCAUGUAGUAUAUUUAUUACACUGGUCUUGUAAACCAGGAAAGGGAACAUAAACUCUCCCCAUAGACUC
rnacentral:tRNA from 1 species